UUGGAUUAGUCUGCUGGUUUAUCAAUGAAAAAGCGUCUUAACUCGGAGAAGCAGCUGAAGUGUUGUCGGCCAGGAGGAGAACGGCUGGGCUGUGAGCGUAUCGGGAGCACUGCCAGUGAAGCCGCGGAACACUUCCUCUAUAUGGGCUUUAGCUCCUUCAGGCUCUGCUGCCGAGAGUCUUUCACUUCCUCAGUGUCAGAAGGCUGCCCCAACUACGCGCUCUACACCACACCCACAUUACGCGCACUCCGCUGCCACCCCAUGUAAUUUGUUGACUCUCUGUCCUGUUCACCCAGACUUACCCCGCUACUGGUUGGAUUAGCGUAAUGUUGUAAGGACAUAUGGAGGAGAGCCCGUGAGCCUGUUUCCCCCUGUUCUCUGAACGGACCAGUCUCUCACCAUCUCUCCUUCUCUUUAGUCUAUGGACCCUCAGAUAUUGAGUAAAGGGAAUAUUCUGUACGGCUUUCACUCGGUGAAUCCAAGACCUCUCUCUUCUCGACUCCGCCACCAGCAUGACUUACACACUUCGUCUGUUUCUCUCUACUCUGCCACGGCUGCCAUCCAGAGGGAGGUACAGGACAGUCGGGCAGGCUUACUGUGUGGAGGAAGGACAGCAGCACCUCCACUACCAGUUGUAGUGUUGCUGGAGGGAGAAUAACGUCUGGGCUGUGAGGAGACGACAGUCAGCGGCAGGUGAAGCGGCUGAGCAGCUCUGCUAUCUGGGGUGUAGCUCGUUUUGGCUCGACGGACGAGCGUCUUUCACUUCCUUGUUUGAUCAGUGCAGAAUGCCCGGCAGUCUUAAAAUAAAAGUAAUUUAAAAAUGUUCUGCUCGUGGCAUAGCUGAUCAAAGCUGCUAUCGCGGCUGGAUAGGCAGAUUUCCAUGUGUUGCAGUGGCUGUGGUAUAUUCUGUCUUUAUUCUGUUAUUAAACUGACUGUCCUCUGCA